rnacentral:rRNA from 1 species
CGACCGGCGCACGGGUGAGUAACACGUAUGGAACCUGCCCGCAGCAGGGAGAUAAGCGGAAGAAAUUCCGUCUAAUACCGCGUAACAACGUUGGGAGGCAUCUCCCGAUGUUUAAAGAUUUAUCGGCUGCGGAUGGCCAUGCGGCGCAUUAGCUAGUCGGCGGGGUAACGGCCCACCGAGGCGACGAUGCGUAGGGGUUCUGAGAGGAAGGUCCCCCACACUGGUACUGAGACACGGACCAGACUCCUACGGGAGGCAGCAG